CUAGAGUCUUGGAGAGGGGAGUGGAAUUCCAGGUGUAGCGGUGAAAUGCGUAGAUAUCUGGAGGAACAUCAGUGGCGAAGGCGGCUCCCUGGCCAAAGACUGACGCUCAUGUGCGAAAGUGUGGGUAGCGAACAGGAUUAGAUACCCUGGUAGUCCACACCGUAAACGCUGUCUACUAGCUGUGUGUGAAUUUAAUUCGUGCGUAGCGAAGCUAACGCGCUAAGUAGACCGCCUGGGGAGUACGGCCGCAAGGUUAAAACUCAAAUGAAUUGACGGGGGCCCGCACAAGCGGUGGAGCAUGUGGUUUAAUUCGAUGCAACGCGAAGAACCUUACCUACACUUGACAUGCAGAGAACUUUCCAGAGAUGGAUUGGUGCCUUCGGGAACUCUGACACAGGUGCUGCAUGGCUGUCGUCAGCUCGUGCCGUGAGAUGUUGGGUUAAGUCCCGCAACGAGCGCAACCCUUGUCCUUAGUUGCCAGCAUUUAGUUGGGCACUCUAAGGAGACUGCCGGUGACAAACCGGAGGAAGGUGGGGACGACGUCAAGUCAUCAUGGCCCUUACGUGUAGGGCUACACACGUGCUACGAUGGCAAGUACAGAGGGAAGCGAGACAGUGAUGUGGAGCGGACCCCUUAAAGCUUGUCGUAGUCCGGAUUGGAGUCUGCAACUCGACUCCAUGAAGUCGGAAUCGCUAGUAAUCGCAGGUCAGCAUACUGCGGUGAAUACGUUCCCGGGCCUUGUACACACCGCCCGUCACACCAUGGGAGUGGGAUGCAAAAGAAGUAGUUAGUCUAACCUCGCCCUAGCGGUGAGGAGGACGAUUACCACUUUGUGUUUCAUGACUGGGGUG
rnacentral:rRNA from 1 species